rnacentral:rRNA from 1 species
GACAGAGGUGCCGAGCGUUAGGCGGAAUCACUGGGCUUAAAGCGUGUGUAGGCGGAUGGGUAAGUACCUUGUGAAAUCCCACGGCUCAACCGUGGAACUGCUCGGUAUACUGCUCGUCUUGAGCCAACUAGGGGCGACCGGAACAAACGGUGGAGCGGUGAAAUGCGUAGAGAUCCGGAGGAACACCGACGGCGCAGGCAGCGUCCUGGCCGCUUGCUGACACUGAGGCACGAAAGCUGGGGGAGCAAACAGG